AACGAACGCUGGCGGCAGGCCUAACACAUGCAAGUCGAACGCUCUAGCAAUAGAGAGUGGCAGACGGGUGAGUAACGCGUGGGAACCUUCCCAAUGGUGCGGAAUAGCCCAGGGAAACUUGGGUAAUACCGCAUAAGCCCUUAGGGGGAAGGAUUUAUCGCCAUUGGAUGGGCCCGCGUCGGAUUAGCUAGUUGGUGAGGUAAUGGCUCACCAAGGCAACGAUCCGUAGCUGGUUUGAGAGAAUGACCAGCCACACUGGGACUGAGACACGGCCCAGACUCCUACGGGGGGCAGUAGUGGGGAAUCUUGGACAAUGGGCGCAAGCCUGAUCCAGCCAUGCCGCGUGAGUGACGAAGGCCUUAGGGUUGUAAAGCUCUUUUGCCGGGGACGAUAAUGACGGUACCCGGAGAAUAAGUCCCGGCUAACUUCGUGCCAGCAGCCGCCGUAA
rnacentral:rRNA from 1 species